GACGAACGCUGGCGGCGUGCCUAAUACAUGCAAGUCGAACGCAGUGGGGACGGUUGAGUAACACGUGGGUAACCUCCCAUCAGAGGGGAUAACACUUGGCAACAGGUGCUAACCCGCUACUGAUGUAUGGACCCGCGGGGCAUUAGCUAGUGGGUGAGGUAACGGCUCACCAAGGCCACGAUGCAUAGCCGACCUGAGAGGGUGAGCGGCCACACUGGGACUGAGACACGGUCAAGACUCCUACGGGAGGCAGCAGUAGGGAAUCUUCGGCAAUGGACGAAAGUCUGACCGAGCAACGCCGCGUGAGUGAAGAAGGUUUUCGGAUCGUAAAACUCUGUUGUUAGAGAAGCGGUAGCUAACCAGAAAGCCACGGCUAACUACGUGCCAGCAGCCGCGGUAAUAC
rnacentral:rRNA from 1 species